rnacentral:rRNA from 1 species
AUGGCUCAGUGAGGCGUUCGGACUGGCCCAGAGAGGUGGGAAACUACCACUCAGGGCCGGAAAGUUCUCCAAACUCGGUCAUUUAGAGGAAGUAAAAGUCGUAACAAGGUCUCCGUUGGUGAACCAGCGGAGGGAUCAUUA